rnacentral:rRNA from 1 species
CUACGGGAUGCACCAGGCGAGAAAACUUUGCAAUGUGCGAAAGCACGACAAGGUUAAUCCGAGUGGUUUGUGCUAAACGAACCUUUUGACAGUCCUAGAAACACUGUUGAAUAAGGGGUGGGCAAGUUCUGGUGUCAGCCGCCGCGGUAAAACCAGCACCUCAAGUGGUCAGGAUGAUUAUUGGGCCUAAAGCAUCCGUAGCCGGCUCUGUAAGUUUUCGGUUAAAUCUGUACGCUCAACGUACAGGCUGCCGGGAAUACUGCAGAGCUAGGGAGUGGGAGAGGUAGACGGUACUCGGUAGGAAGGGGUAAAAUCCUUUGAUCUAUUGAUGACCACCUGUGGCGAAGGCGGUCUACCAGAACACGUCCGACGGUGAGGGAUGAAAGCUGGGGGAGCAAACCGGAUUAGAUACCCCAGUAGUC